ACGUGGGUUUUUUUUGAAUUGGAUGAUUAUGCAACCAUACAGGAACCUUACAUAAGCGCAAGUAGUUGAAUAGUAGAUCUAACCAGUAAAACUUUACUACCAGUGGGAUUAAUGGAACGAAUUAGACGUACUCGAUCUUGCAAGUAAAAUCUACGCACAGGAUAAGAAGUCCCAGGGGAAGCUAGGUACUUCUUUCCCGCUGCAAUAUUUUUCUAAAUUCUGUCUUGAUUUUCUUCAAAUUGCUUGAGGAAAAUAACUUCUAAGCAGUAUGCUGAGAAGGGUUGGCAUGGGAUGUUUGAAUUGUUUAGAUAAUAUAAAAGAGACAUCUAAUAUGACUAAUAAAAAAUAGUAAGUAUGGUAUACAAAAAAAAAUACAAAGAACGUGUAUAUAUAAAGGAAAAAUAACCUGCGAAUAUUGAGAAAAG
rnacentral:sRNA from 23 species